rnacentral:tRNA from 1 species
GCUUGGGUAGCUCAGUCGGUUGAGCGUCUGACUUCGGCUCAGGUCAUGAUCUCACAGUUUGUGAGUUCGAGCCCCGCGUCGGGCU